CAGAGAUUCUCCUCCCAAACAGAUGUCCACAGGAGCAGGAGGCAGAACCGCCAAGCAACAACAUCUGGGCUGGCAAAGCAGAGGAGACACUCCAAAAACAACACAGGGCUUCAAACACAGGUGAUUGUUCCAUUGGAUUCUGCUGUGAAUUGUUUUGAUGCACUGGCCAAUUGGUGCCAAGCCGUGUCGAGACUCUGGAGAGAGUCAUGAGUUUUCAUUAUUAGCUUCUUAGCAUGCACCAAAUGCUUUAACUCCAGCAUACCAAAGGAUGAGGAGGUUUGGAAGCUGCUAGAGGAACUCAAAGCAGGAAAAACGAGAUGCACAAUUCCACAAGGAUUAUCCCUAGUGUUCCUUUCUGCGUGGGGUUUUUUGUCACUCUGCACCAUCAGAUGUGGAGGAUCAAAGGAGGAUCAGAAAAUGAGAGGAGAGGAGAGGAGAGGAGAGGAGAGGAGAGGAGAGGAAUCAGUCCUACAAACCCCAUUGUCUCCCUCAGACCUAAGAAGCUCCAUGAAGUCCUUGAAGUGGGUCCCUCACGCCCUGUUUGGUGGCUGGAAGGAGAGGGACAUGGAGAGAACUUUAGGCCACCUGGAAAUGUUGACCUUGGAUAUGUUCUUCAAGGCUUCUGAGUUCCUUAGAAAAAACAUCUCCAUAAAUUGGGAUGGAUUGGGUCAAAGGAUGAGCUGCACUGAAGGAAGAUUUCUCAGCAGUGGGGUGGAUAAAAGGAUUUAAACAAGUCCCAAAAGAAACCCCAACUUUUUAUUUGUUCCUUUUUACAAGGCUGCAUCUGUUUACUAUUUUAGGAAUAAAUUCACGAGCAGGGUGGGCAGAUCUAUAUUGUUCCUAAUCCCCCAG